rnacentral:rRNA from 1 species
CACGUAGGGGCCAAGCGUUGUCCGGAUUUAUUGGGCGUAAAGAGCUCGUAGGCGGUCUGUCGCGUCGGCUGUGAAAUCCCGAGGCUCAACCUCGGGUCUGCAGUCGAUACGGGCAAACUAGAGUAUUGCAGGGGAGACUGGAAUUCCUGGUGUAGCGGUGAAAUGCGCAGAUAUCAGGAGGAACACCGGUGGCGAAGGCGGGUCUCUGGGCAAUAACUGACGCUGAGGAGCGAAAGCGUGGGGAGCGAACAGG